AUGGAAGUAGCAAGGGCUUCGCAGAGGUGGUGCUGCACAUCGGAAUGCGCAACAGCUCAGAGCUACCACAGUGGCACACAGUAGGAGAGACCAAUACUCAGAAGAAGGAACAGAAUCAUAUCUGUCCUGAGCUCAAGAGGAGACUCCCAGAAACCACUGUGCUUUUGCUUGCUGCUGGUCAGGCAAAAUGAACCUGGUUCUGUAACAAAUGUAACUGGGAGCUGGAUUUUCUAAAAAAAAAAGCAGUUUGACUGGAGGACCAAAAGGACU